UUCUCUAAGUCCGUGGAAUACCAAAACCAAAAUCUGUAGAAUAUUUUAAAGAGUGCAGGCUUUGUUCAGAAUGUGAGCGCUUUGCUCCACUGAACCGAACGGUAGUAAGAUUUGUAGAAGAGACGCAGAGUGAAAGGCACGUCUUUUUAUCGAGUGACAUGACAGCACCCAUCGCGUGAGUUACUGGCUGGAGUUUAGAGACAGGCCGUGUUGGGCUAAACUCCUUAUUGCUGUUUUCAGCCCUUGGGUAAUAAUCAGAAGCUUUCUCUGAAGAGAGUGGGGUCAGCUGUCAGACUCCUAGGUAUCUGCCGGCCAGCAGGGCUGGGAUCAAAUGCAGCAGCCAGUAGAUACGGGAUGGGGCAAGAGGUCACCUUGUCCCUUUGUUGCUGCCGGGAGAGAGGCUCGUCCUGGUGCCAGCGGGGGCCAGAGCUGUGACUUGGUGGCCAGAAGAUGUGUCUGGGUCUCACGAAUUCCGCU
rnacentral:sRNA from 1 species